CUGAUCACUUUGGCCACACAUACUAAAAUUUGAAUGAUGCAGAGAAGAUUAGCAUGGCCCCUGUUCAGAAUUAUUUUUUAAUUAAGCCUUUUUAU
rnacentral:snRNA from 1 species